rnacentral:rRNA from 1 species
UACGAAGGGGGCUAGCGUUGUUCGGAAUUACUGGGCGUAAAGGGCGCGUAGGCGGCCUCGUUAGUCGUGUGUGAAAUACCUGGGCUCAACCCGGGAAUUGCGCUCGAUACUACGGGGCUAGAGUGUGGGAGAGGUUGGUGGAAUUCCCAGUGUAGAGGUGAAAUUCGUAGAUAUUGGGAAGAACACCGGUGGCGAAGGCGGCCAACUGGACCACAACUGACGCUGAGGCACGAAAGCGUGGGGAGCAAACAGG